rnacentral:rRNA from 1 species
CCUACGGGUGGCAGCAGUGAGGAAUAUUGGUCAAUGGACGAGAGUCUGAACCAGCCAAGUAGCGUGAAGGAUGACUGCCCUAUGGGUUGUAAACUUCUUUUAUAUGGGAAUAAAAUGUGCCACGUGUGGGAUUUUGUAUGUACCAUAUGAAUAAGGAUCGGCUAACUCCGUGCCAGCAGCCGCGGUAAGACGGAGGAUCCGAGCGUUAUCCGGAUUUAUUGGGUUUAAAGGGAGCGUAGGUGGCUUGUUAAGUCAGUUGUGAAAGUUUGCGGCUCAACCGUAAAAUUGCAGUUGAAACUGGCAGUCUUGAGUACAGUAGAGGUGGGCGGAAUUCGUGGUGUAGCGGUGAAAUGCUUAGAUAUCACGAAGAACUCCGAUUGCGAAGGCAGUUCACUGGACUGCAACUGACACUGAGGCUCGACAGUGUGGGUAUCAAACAGGAUUAGAUACCCUUGUAGUC